GGUUAAGCGACUAAGCGUACACGGUGGAUGCCCUGGCAGUCAGAGGCGAUGAAGGACGUGUUAAUCUGCGAUAAGCGCCGGUAAGGUGAUAUGAACCGUUAUAACCGGCGAUUUCCGAAUGGGGAAACCCAGUGUGAUUCGUCACACUAUCAUUAACUGAAUCCAUAGGUUAAUGAGGCGAACCGGGGGAACUGAAACAUCUAAGUACCCCGAGGAAAAGAAAUCAACCGAGAUUCCCCCAGUAGCGGCGAGCGAACGGGGAGGAGCCCAGAGCCUGAAUCAGCAUGUGUGUUAGUGGAAGCGUCUGGAAAGGCGCGCGAUACAGGGUGACAGCCCCGUACACAAAAGCGCAUGUGCUGUGAGCUCGAUGAGUAGGGCGGGACACGUGGUAUCCUGUCUGAAUAUGGGGGGACCAUCCUCCAAGGCUAAAUACUCCUGACUGACCGAUAGUGAACCAGUACCGUGAGGGAAAGGCGAAAAGAACCCCGGCGAGGGGAGUGAAAAAGAACCUGAAACCGUGUACGUACAAGCAGUGGGAGCCCCACCACUAAGCCAGUGGUGAACUCCACAUACGCAUCCUUUGCUGAGGAUACGGUUAACGGAGCGAAAGCGACGUUCAACCUCAAAAGAAGCAGAGGGGGCUUAGUGGUGGGGUGACUGCGUACCUUUUGUAUAAUGGGUCAGCGACUUAUAUUCUGUAGCAAGGUUAACCGAAUAGGGGAGCCGGAGGGAAACCGAGUCUUAAUUGGGCGUUAAGUUGCAGGGUAUAGACCCGAAACCCGGUGAUCUAGCCAUGGGCAGGUUGAAGGUUGGGUAACACUAACUGGAGGACCGAACCGACUAAUGUUGAAAAAUUAGCGGAUGACCUGUGGCUGGGGGUGAAAGGCCAAUCAAACCGGGAGAUAGCUGGUUCUCCCCGAAAGCUAUUUAGGUAGCGCCUCGUGAAUUCAUCUCCGGGGGUAGAGCACUGUUUCGGCUAGGGGGCCAUCCCGGCUUACCAACCCGAUGCAAACUGCGAAUACCGGAGAAUGUUAUCACGGGAGACACACGGCGGGUGCUAACGUCCGUCGUGAAGAGGGAAACAACCCAGACCGCCAGCUAAGGUCCCAAAGUCAUGGUUAAGUGGGAAACGAUGUGGGAAGGCCCAGACAGCCAGGAUGUUGGCUUAGAAGCAGCCAUCAUUUAAAGAAAGCGUAAUAGCUCACUGGUCGAGUCGGCCUGCGCGGAAGAUGUAACGGGGCUAAACCAUGCACCGAAGCUGCGGCAGCGACACUGUGUGUUGUUGGGUAGGGGAGCGUUCUGUAAGCCUGCGAAGGUGGCCUGUGAGGGUUGCUGGAGGUAUCAGAAGUGCGAAUGCUGACAUAAGUAACGAUAAAGCGGGUGAAAAGCCCGCUCGCCGGAAGACCAAGGGUUCCUGUCCAACGUUAAUCGGGGCAGGGUGAGUCGACCCCUAAGGCGAGGCCGAAAGGCGUAGUCGAUGGGAAACGGGUUAAUAUUCCCGUACUUGGUGUUACUGCGAAGGGGGGACGGAGAAGGCUAUGUUGGCCGGGCGACGGUUGUCCCGGUUUAAGCGUGUAGGUGUGUGUUCCAGGUAAAUCCGGUUCACUUUAACACUGAGGCGUGACGACGAGGCACUACGGUGCUGAAGCAACAAAUGCCCUGCUUCCAGGAAAAGCCUCUAAGCAUCAGGUAACAUCAAAUCGUACCCCAAACCGACACAGGUGGUCAGGUAGAGAAUACCAAGGCGCUUGAGAGAACUCGGGUGAAGGAACUAGGCAAAAUGGUGCCGUAACUUCGGGAGAAGGCACGCUGACACGUAGGUGAAGUGAUUUACUCACGGAGCUGAAGUCAGUCGAAGAUACCAGCUGGCUGCAACUGUUUAUUAAAAACACAGCACUGUGCAAACACGAAAGUGGACGUAUACGGUGUGACGCCUGCCCGGUGCCGGAAGGUUAAUUGAUGGGGUCAGCGCAAGCGAAGCUCCUGAUCGAAGCCCCGGUAAACGGCGGCCGUAACUAUAACGGUCCUAAGGUAGCGAAAUUCCUUGUCGGGUAAGUUCCGACCUGCACGAAUGGCGUAAUGAUGGCCAGGCUGUCUCCACCCGAGACUCAGUGAAAUUGAACUCGCUGUGAAGAUGCAGUGUACCCGCGGCAAGACGGAAAGACCCCGUGAACCUUUACUAUAGCUUGACACUGAACAUUGAGCCUUGAUGUGUAGGAUAGGUGGGAGGCUUUGAAGUGUGGACGCCAGUCUGCAUGGAGCCGACCUUGAAAUACCACCCUUUAAUGUUUGAUGUUCUAACGUGGACCCGUAAUCCGGGUUGCGGACAGUGUCUGGUGGGUAGUUUGACUGGGGCGGUCUCCUCCUAAAGAGUAACGGAGGAGCACGAAGGUUGGCUAAUCCUGGUCGGACAUCAGGAGGUUAGUGCAAUGGCAUAAGCCAGCUUGACUGCGAGCGUGACGGCGCGAGCAGGUGCGAAAGCAGGUCAUAGUGAUCCGGUGGUUCUGAAUGGAAGGGCCAUCGCUCAACGGAUAAAAGGUACUCCGGGGAUAACAGGCUGAUACCGCCCAAGAGUUCAUAUCGACGGCGGUGUUUGGCACCUCGAUGUCGGCUCAUCACAUCCUGGGGCUGAAGUAGGUCCCAAGGGUAUGGCUGUUCGCCAUUUAAAGUGGUACGCGAGCUGGGUUUAGAACGUCGUGAGACAGUUCGGUCCCUAUCUGCCGUGGGCGCUGGAGAACUGAGGGGGGCUGCUCCUAGUACGAGAGGACCGGAGUGGACGCAUCACUGGUGUUCGGGUUGUCAUGCCAAUGGCACUGCCCGGUAGCUAAAUGCGGAAGAGAUAAGUGCUGAAAGCAUCUAAGCACGAAACUUGCCCCGAGAUGAGUUCUCCCUGAGACUUUAGGUCUCCUGAAGGAACGUUGAAGACGACGACGUUGAUAGGCCGGGUGUGUAAGCGCAGCGAUGCGUUGAGCUAACCGGUACUAAUGAACCGUGAGGCUUAACCUU
rnacentral:rRNA from 1 species